AGUGAACGCUGGCGGUAGGCCUAACACAUGCAAGUCGAACGGCAGCACAGUAAGAGCUUGCUCUUACGGGUGGCGAGUGGCGGACGGGUGAGGAAUACAUCGGAAUCUACUUUUUCGUGGGGGAUAACGUAGGGAAACUUACGCUAAUACAGCAUACGACCUACGGGUGAAAGCAGGGGAUCUUCGGACCUUGCGCGAUUGAAUGAGCCGAUGUCGGAUUAGCUAGUUGGCGGGGUAAAGGCCCAGCAAGGCGACGAUCCGUAGCCGGUCUGGGAGGAUGAUCAGCCACACUGGAACUGAGACACGGUCCAGACUCCUACGGGAGGCAGCAGUGUGGAAUAUUGGACAAUGGGCGCAAGCCUGAUCCAGCCAUACCGCGUGGGUUAAGAAGGCCUUCGGGUUGUAAAGCCCUUUUGUUGGUAAAGAAAAGCAGCAGGUUAAUACCCCGCUGUUCUGACGGUACCCAAAGAAUAAGCACCGGCUAACUUCGUG
rnacentral:rRNA from 1 species